rnacentral:rRNA from 1 species
AACUUUCAGCAACGGAUCUCUUGGCUCUCGCA